UAGUGCCUGUAAUAUUGCUCAGGCCAGGAUGCUGGUUGGGUUGUUCAAUAGGAGCUUUGGGGUCACGCAUGAGAAGGGCAGGCUUCAGUUGUGCUGGAAGUCAAGGCCUUUAAUCUCUGUGUCUGUUUUGACUCCUGUGUGAAAGGAAAUGAGGAUGUGAUGGUUUUAAGGGCUAAAUUUUCUUGUAAGAGUUUGCACUGGGGAUUUUUUGUUGGAAGAUAUCUUGUAGAAUGCAAUUAAAAUGCUAGUAUUCUGCUGGAAGUUUAGGGCUCUCUAGACCCUGAUCUGUGAUUGCAUAAUCUUUUUAGGUUCUUGCAGUGCAACUUUUACACAUGACAAGUGGCAGUAUAUUUUAUCCUUCUCUAAGAGGGCGUUUCUUCUGAAUUUUCUCAGUGUUUCAAAUCACAGGCCAUACCGCCACUUAGCGACGUCCUUCUCCACUCCAAAAGCUGUAGUAGGCAGCUAUGGGGCGGAAGGAAAUCCAACAGUGGUGCCGCCUCGCCAGCCGCGCCUUCGCGCGCGCCUGCUCCGCCGCAAGGCGCUGCCCCGGCCCUCGGGUCACCUCUCUGCAUGCGCAGGGCUCGACGACUCCUCCCUCACCGCCGUGCGGCUGGCCGUGCAAAACUUUCAGAGUUUCGACAUUAUGAUGAGUUGAUGACUGUCCAUGUUAAAACUUGUAUCUGUAACUGGCAUCUUCAGGCUUCAGAACAGAGAAAGAAGAUGAUCAUCAGUAACUGGAAAGUGCCGAUGGUUGUUAACACUUGUCCUGCAAUGUUAUGUGUAAACUUUCAGAGUCUCGACGCUAUGAUGACUGUCCAUGCUGAAUAAUAUCUGUGCUGGCAUUUACGGGCCAAACUUUGUAGGAGCAUCUACAGCUGAAUUCGAAGUGUACCCAAACUUUGUAGGAGCA